CUCUCCACCGGAAGUGGGGAGAAGUUACGACCGAGAGCCUGACACCUGAUGCUUGCUCUUUUGUCUCGCGAAGUUGGGCCAGUAUUUGACCACCUUGGGCGGCGGAUGAUUAUGGUGUCCCGGUAUAUGUCUUACCUAAAAGCAGAGAGCAGUUGUUUCUACGCUUGGAUCAUUCAGAGAGUAUGCAGCCGCAACCAUGCCUUGGAUGUGUGUAAUUCAAGUGGAGAAGACACAAGCCAGUGGUCAUAAUAUCAACACUUGAGUGUUCUGUAAACGAUUUAUCGGAGGUUGCAGCCAAACAUGGCCAUGAGGUAAACCCUGCCCCUGGUUGAAAUUUAGUUUCAUCAGCUUCUACACAGGAUUGUAAGGACUUGGAAUAUAUCAUAAAACCCAGCAGGUUCCCCCCUCCCUUUUUUUUAAGAUUUUUUUUUCUUCCUGUAGAUAAUAUUCGUAAACAAGUUCUUUAUGGUUAGUAACUGCAAUGCUUGAAGUUGGUUAUCCCUUAUUCUAGUAAAUUUUAAAUGUCAAAGAUAUAGAUAUAGAUACCUUGUUAAAUAAAAAAAAGUAUCAAAAUC